rnacentral:misc_RNA from 1 species
AAAAAAAAAAUAAAAGAAAUUAAAGUUGUUUUAAUUGUGGGGAAGGGGUGUGGUUUGUCAUAUUUAGAAGAAAAAAAAAACUUGUAUUUUAACAGAAACUGCAUCACAAAGUUAUAUUUGUGAGAGAAUUGUUCUUUUUGCUAGUCUAUUGUAUGACUUUUCUUUUUUGGUAUUGUUUUUACUUACAUUUUUUUACCCGUUAUAUCAGUAAGCUGAAG